rnacentral:rRNA from 5 species
ACCCCAGGUCAGGCGGGAUUACCCGCUGAGUUUAA